AGCGAACGCUGGCGGCAGGCUUAACACAUGCAAGUCGAACGGGCACUUCGGUGCUAGUGGCAGACGGGUGAGUAACGCGUGGGAACGUGCCUUUCGGUUCGGAAUAAUCCAGGGAAACUUGGACUAAUACCGGAUACGCCCUUCGGGGGAAAGAUUUAUCGCCGAAAGAUCGGCCCGCGUCUGAUUAGCUAGUUGGUGAGGUAAAGGCUCACCAAGGCGACGAUCAGUAGCUGGUCUGAGAGGAUGAUCAGCCACACUGGGACUGAGACACGGCCCAGACUCCUACGGGAGGCAGCAGUGGGGAAUAUUGGACAAUGGGCGAAAGCCUGAUCCAGCCAUGCCGCGUGAGUGAUGAAGGCCUCAGGGUUGUAAAGCUCUUUUGUCCGGGAAGAUAAUGACUGUACCGGAAGAAUAAGCCCCGGCUAACUUCGUGCCAGCAGCCGCCGUAACAC
rnacentral:rRNA from 1 species